rnacentral:rRNA from 1 species
ACUACGGGGGGCAGCAGUGGGGAAUAUUGGGCAAUGGGCGCAAGCCUGACCCAGCAACGCCGCGUGAAGGAAGAAGGCUUUCGGGUUGUAAACUUCUUUUCUGAGGGACGAAGAAAGUGACGGUACCUCCGGAAUAAGCCACGGCUAACUACGUGCCAGCAGCCGCGUGAAUCCGUAGGUGGCAAGCGUUAUCCGGAUUGAUUGGGUGUAAAGGGCGUGUAGGGGGGAAAGCAAGUCAGAUGUGAAAACUCAGGGCUCAACCCUGCGCCGGCAUUUGAAACUGUUUUUCUUGAGUGCUGGAGAGGCAAUCGGAAUUCCGGGUGUAGCGGUGAAAUGCGUAGAUAUACGGAGGAACACCAGUGGCGAAGGCGGAUUGCUGGACAGUAACUGACGCUGAGGCGCGAAAGCGUGGGGAGCAAACAGGAUUAGAUACCCCAGUAGUC